UUCAAGGUUGUGUGUUGUGUCAUGUCACACAAAUCUGAGUGUGAAUCAGAUUAUAUUGUAGUGAGAGAAAAAGCUGCUGUGGAUGCCCUUGAGAAAAUGAGACUUGCACCUUUCAAAUGCUUUUGGAGAAAUGCAGAAGGACAGCAGUCUCUGCUGGCUAGGCGGGCUGGUACACUUUCAUCCUCUAUGCAGAGAGAUGGCCACAAGAAAAGAGGUCCUGGCUAAGGCAACAGAAAGCCUGAAAGGAAAGGGAAUAAGAAAACUUGCAGAGUGAAGUGAACAAGAAGUCCUUUUUGAAUGGGAUUCUGGAUUGAAGAGAGAGGCAGUUUGCGGCAAUGCGAUAGUCAUAGCAGAACAUUUCCAUGCCUCUGAAGAGGAGUAUUCAUAUGGGUACCAAGGGACACAGAUUUUUUUUAUUUAGAAAGGGAAUUUCAGUAAAAAAGUUGAGUGGAGAUAAAGAUGCAG